rnacentral:rRNA from 1 species
AUUGAACGCUGGCGGCAGGCUUAACACAUGCAAGUCGAACGAGUGGCGGACGGGUGAGUAAUGCUUGGGAAUCUGGCUUAUGGAGGGGGAUAACGACGGGAAACUGUCGCUAAUACCGCGUCCCAUGGAUGAGGCCAAGUGGGAUUAGCUGGUUGGCGGGGUAAAGGCCCACCAAGGCGACGAUCAGUAGCGGUCUGAGAGGAUGCUCGGCGACAGGGGACUGAGACACGGCCCAGACUCCGACGGGAGGCAGCAGUGGGGAAUUUUGGACAAUGGGCGCAAGCCUGAUCCAGCCAUGCCGCGUGUCUGAAGAAGGCCUUCGGGUUGUAAAGGACUUUUGUCAGGGAAGCGGUACCUGAAGAAUAAGCACCGGCUAACUACGUGCCAGCAGCCCGGUAAUAC